rnacentral:rRNA from 1 species
GACGAACGCUGGCGGCGUGCUUAACACAUGCAAGUCGAACGGUAAGGCCUUUCGGGGUACACGAGUGGCGAACGGGUGAGUAACACGUGGGUGACCUGCCUCGAGCUCUGGGAUAAGCCUGGGAAACUGGGUCUAAUACCGGAUAUGACCAGUCUUCGCAUGGGGGUUGGUGGAAAGUUUUUCGGCUCGAGAUGGGCCCGCGGCCUAUCAGCUUGUUGGUGGGGUGAUGGCCUACCAAGGCGA